rnacentral:rRNA from 1 species
UGACGUUAACGUCAGAAGAAGCACCGGCUAACUCCGUGCCAGCAGCCGCGGUAAUACGGAGGGUCCGAGCGUUAUCCGGAAUUAUUGGGUUUAAAGGGUCCGUAGGCGGGUCUUUAAGUCAGUGGUGAAAGCCUGCAGCUUAACUGUAGAAUUGCCAUUGAUACUGGAGACCUUGAGUACACUUGAAGUAAGCGGAAUGUGUCAUGUAGCGGUGAAAUGCUUAGAUAUGACCCAGAACACCG